CACCGCGGCCAUACGAGUGUUAGCCCAAGCGGAAGAUCAACGGCGUAAAGAGUGGUUAGGGACCCCCCACGGCUAAAGCUGAAUGCCCUCCAAGCCGUUAUACGCACCCGACGGCAUGAAACCCCACCACGAAGGUGGCUUUAACUUAACCCGAACCCACGACAACUAGGACACAAA
rnacentral:rRNA from 1 species